CCAAUAGCGUAUAUUAAAGUUGUUGCAGUUAAAAAGCUCGUAGUUGAAUUUCGGGAUCAAUUAAUUGGUCGUGCCUCUGGUACGUACUGAUUUUAUUGGUUUCUCCCUUCUGACGAACCAUGAUGUCAUUAAUUUGAUGUCGUGGAGAAUCAGGACUGUUACUUUGAAAAAAUUAGAGUGUUUAAAGCAAGCUAACGCUU
rnacentral:rRNA from 1 species